rfam:Oryza sativa Japonica Group DNA, chromosome 10, cultivar: Nipponbare, complete sequence.
UUUUGGGACAGAGAUAUAUCUGUGUCCAAUAUUUGAUCGUCCAUCUUAUUUAAAUCUUUUCAAUAAUUAGUAUUUUUGUUGUCAUUAGAUGAUAAAAUAUGAAUAAUACUUUAUACGAGACUUAUUUUUAAAUUUUUUUCAUAAUAUUUUUAAUAAAACGAACAGUUAAAAAUUAGAUAAAAAACACACAAAUGAACCUAUU